GGAUGAAAUUCCAUGAGAGAAAGAAACACAAGGAAAAAUCCUUAAUCCCAACACCAAGCUCUAUGCAGUAGUGUUUCCGCUGUGGGUCUCUUUUCUUGCCAUCUCGGGAGCAAGCCUGGCGAAUGACGUGAAGCCAGGAGCCAUAACCUGCAAAUUCCUGGGAGGAGAGCUGUGUACCUGAUCCAGCAGAUGCUGUGGGACGUGUUUGCAGUGAUGCAGGCUGAGCUGGCUGAGUAACACUGAACAUCUGCCUUAAGGCAAGUCACCUGGCCCAGCUCGUGAAACCAUCAGCUUCAUUGGCAGCGAAUGAAGUCCUUGGCUGAAGAGAGAAAUUGAGGACUUAAAACUGUCUGUGCAGGAAACAGACUCCUGGUUUAAAUUAAUGAGAUGUCAAAUACUAUUAAGUUCCAAUGAUGUGUUUGUGAUAACGAAGGGACUGAUUUUCAGCCAGUUUACAACUCUGAUCCAUUCUCUCACCCCC